rnacentral:rRNA from 1 species
GUGGGCAUGGGAGUGAGGGCUCUGGGUCCACCUCCCACCCGUGUUUAUUUUACCUUGUUGCUUCGGCGGGCCCGCCUUAACUGGCCGCCGGGGGGCUUACGCCCCCGGGCCCGCGCCCGCCGAAGACACCCUCGAACUCUGUCUGAAGAUUGAAGUCUGAGUGAAAAUAUAAAUUAUUUAAAACUUUCAACAACGGAUCUCUUGGUUCCGGCAUCGAUGAAGAACGCAGCGAAAUGCGAUACGUAAUGUGAAUUGCAAAUUCAGUGAAUCAUCGAGUCUUUGAACGCACAUUGCGCCCCCUGGUAUUCCGGGGGGCAUGCCUGUCCGAGCGUCAUUGCUGCCCUCAAGCCCGGCUUGUGUGUUGGGCCCCGUCCCCCGAUCUCCGGGGGACGGGCCCGAAAGGCAGCGGCGGCACCGCGUCCGGUCCUCGAGCGUAUGGGGCUUUGUCACCCGCUCUGUAGGCCCGGCCGGCGCUUGCCGAUCAACCCAAAUUUUUAUCCAGGUUGACCUCGGAUCAGGUAGGGAUACCCGCUGAACUUAAGCAUAUCAAUAGACGGAGGAA